UUACAAAUGGCUUGACUGGGACUAAAAAUUCAACCAGUUGAUACAUUUCUGUUAUGAUCAUACUCUUAAAAUAAUUGGUCUCUGGCUAGUCCCUUUUCUUAACUAUAUUCUUGCACAAGCCAGCAAGCAAGUCUCUUAAUAAAAGCUAGAAACCACAAGCGAAAGUCUGAUCUUUCUCCUUCUUCCUUCUUGAUUGUUUUCCUUUAAAACCCCAAUUCCUUCAUUUUUGCCUGUAGAUUUACCAUCAGUUCUUCUUACCAUUUCAUUAGUGUUUUUCCUUGAUUUCCUUUUUCCUUCUAGGAAGGUCCAGCUCUUAGUCAUUAGUAGCGGGUUUUGAGGUAAAUAUGCUUUCUUUUUUACAAACUUCGGGAAAGAAUUCAAUUCACCAGACAAUACCAUGAAGAUAAGCAUCGUAAAGGGAGGAGGAAAAAAGAAGAAGAAGAAAGAGGCAACACCUUUUUAAUUAUUUACGCGAGACAAAUCCAAAAUCUUAUCGGCUCCUGUUAAGUAGAAAUGAUACGAUUCAAAUCCCUGGUCAUAAAAAAGACAGACAAGCAUCAAUAAAGAAAUGGAAAAACUAAGUGCUUUAUGCCAACUUCACCACAUAUAUACAUCAUUUCAUUUUUAUUUAAGCAAUCUUUUUUUUAUUUAUUUAUUGCAGCAUUUUGCACACAGGAGCUACU
rnacentral:misc_RNA from 1 species